rnacentral:rRNA from 1 species
UACGUAGGCAGCGAGCGUUGUUCGGAAUUACUGGGCGUAAAGAGUGUGUAGGCGGUGCUCUAAGUUCGGUGUGAAAUCUCCCGCUUAACUGGGAGGGUGCGCCGGAAACUGGAGUGCUCGAACGUGGGGAGAGGAAAGCGGAAUUCCUGGUGUAGCGGUGAAAUGCGUAGAUAUCAGGAGGAACACCUGCGGUGUAGACGGCUUUUCUGGACCAUUGUUGACGCUGAGACACGAAAAGCGUGGGGUAGCAAAAC